UCUCGAUUGGUCUAGUGGUAAGGAUACCUGCUUGUCAUUUGACAGCCUCUUCGAGUUUAGAAUAGCAAAUCGCAGGUGGCCGGGGUUCGAUUCCCCGAUCGAGAG